rnacentral:rRNA from 1 species
AUUGAACGCUGGCGGCAUGCCUAACACAUGCAAGUCGAGCGGAUGAAGGGAGCUUGCGCCUGGAUUCAGCGGCGGACGGGCGAGUAAUUCCUAGGAAUCUGCCUGGCCUUGGGGGAUAACGUCCGUAAACGGGCGCUAAUAUCGCAUACGUCCUGAGUGUGAAAGGGGGGGUUCUUCGGACCUCACGGUAUCUGCUGAGCCUAGUAGGUAGUACCGAGCUGCUGUAGCUAGUUGGUACGGUAACGGCCUACCAAGGCUACGAUGCGUAGCUGAUCUGAGAGGAUGAUCAGCCACACUGGAACUGAGACACGGUCCAGACUCCUACGGGAGGCAGCAGUGGGGAAUAUUGGACAAUGGGCGAAAGCCUGAUCCAGCCAUGCCGCGUGUGUGAAGAAGGUCUUCGGAUUGUAAAGCACUUUUAGUUGGGAAGAAGAGCAGUAAGUUAAUACCUUGCUGUUUUGACGGUACCAACAGAAUAAGCACCGGCUAACUUCGUG